UACAGAGGGUGCAAGCGUUAAUCGGAAUUACUGGGCGUAAAGCGCGCGUAGGUGGUUUGUUAAGUCGGAUGUGAAAUCCCCAGGCUCAACCUGGGAACUGCAUCCGAUACUGGAUGGCUUGAAUCCGGGAGAGGGAUGCGGAAUUCCAGGUGUAGCGGUGAAAUGCGUAGAUAUCAAGAGGAACACCUGCGGCGAAGGCGGGUUGCUGGGCUGACACUGACGCUGAGGCGCGAAAGCUAGGGGAGCGAACGGG
rnacentral:rRNA from 1 species